AUCUACACACCCCAACCUAAGACCUUCAUCUUCUUCAACCUAACAUACCUUAGGACCCCUCAUCUCCUCCACACAAAAACAGCCGUCACUCUCAACCAGACCACCGGUCCACCACCAUAACUCCGGCAACCACACACGCACACAGCAACCCCCUCCAGCCGCCCACACCCCUCCAUCUUCAACCCAAAAAUGACGGAACCUUAAGAGAAAUUAGUGGCCGUCACUUCUCAAACUCGCUGGCACCCCCACACAAGAAUGUCAUCACCCCUCCACCGAAAUCGCCGGAACUCUAACACCCAUCGCUGUCCCCUUCUUCCCUUCACUACAACCUGCCGGAAAUACCCACACACGCAUUCACUCGAGAACAAUACCAAG
rnacentral:lncRNA from 1 species